rnacentral:rRNA from 1 species
UACGGAGGGGGCUAGCGUUGUUCGGAAUUACUGGGCGUAAAGCGCACGUAGGCGGCUUUGUAAGUUAGAGGUGAAAGCCCGGGGCUCAACUCCGGAAUUGCCUUUAAGACUGCAUCGCUAGAAUUGUGGAGAGGUAAGUGGAAUUCCGAGUGUAGAGGUGAAAUUCGUAGAUAUUCGGAAGAACACCAGUGGCGAAGGCGGCUCACUGGCCCGUUACCGACGCUCAGGCGCGACAGCGUGGGGAGCAAACAGG